UACGUAGGGUGCGAGCGUUAAUCGGAAUUACUGGGCGUAAAGCGCACGUAGGUGGCGACGUAAGUCGGGUGUGAAAGCCCCGGGCUCAACCUGGGAAUUGCAUUCGAGACUGCAUUGCUGGAGUACGGAAGAGGAAGGCGGAAUUCCCGGUGUAGCGGUGAAAUGCGUAGAUAUCAGGAGGAACACCGGUGGCGAAGGCGGGUCUCUGGGCCGAUACUGACGCUGAGGAGCGAAAGCGUGGGGAGCGAACAGG
rnacentral:rRNA from 1 species